GAUGAACGCUGGCGGCGUGCCUAAUACAUGCAAGUCGAGCGAACAGACGAGGAGCUUGCUCCUUUGACGUUAGCGGCGGACGGGUGAGUAACACGUGGGUAACCUACCUAUAAGACUGGGAUAACUUCGGGAAACCGGAGCUAAUACCGGAUAAUAUUUCGAACCGCAUGGUUCGAUAGUGAAAGAUGGCUUUGCUAUCACUUCUAGAUGGACCUGCGCCGUAUUAGCUAGUUGGUAAGGUAACGGCUUACCACGGCAACGAUACGUAGCCGACCUGAGAGGGUGAUCGGCCACACUGGAACGGAGACACGGUCCAGACUCCUACGGGAGGCAGCAGUAGGGAAUCUGCCGCAAUAGGCGAAAGCCUGACGGAGCAACGCCGCGUGAGUGAUGAAGGUCUUCGGAGCGUAAAACUCUGUUAUUAGGGAAGAACAAACGUGUAAGUAACUGUGCACGGCUUGACGGUACCUAAUCAGAAAGCCACGGCUAACUACGUG
rnacentral:rRNA from 1 species